GGGUGUAUAGCUCAGUGGUAGAGCAGAUGCUUGGCAUGCACAAGGUCCUGGGCUCAAUCCCCAGCACCUCCA
rnacentral:tRNA from 1 species